GGAAACCCUGGCUUGCUUGCCAAGC
rnacentral:piRNA from 1 species